rnacentral:rRNA from 1 species
CGCUGGCGGCGUGCCUAACACAUGCAAGUCGAACGGAGAGCAUAUGAAGUAUUCGGUACGGAAUGCGUUCUAGUGGCGAACGGGUGAGUAACACGUGGGCAACCUGCCCCAGACUGGGGGAUAACAUUGUGAAAACAGUGCUAAUACCGCAUGACGGGGUUCCGGGCAUCCGGGACUCUUGAAAGGAGAAAUCCGGUCAGGGAUGGGCCCGCGUCCAAUUAGCUAGUUGGUGGGGUAACGGCCCACCAAGGCGACGAUUGGUAGCCGAACUGAGAGGUUGAUCGGCCACAUUGGGACUGAGACACGGCCCAGACUCCUACGGGAGGCAGCAGUGGGGAAUAUUGGGCAAUGGGCGAAAGCCCUGACCCAGCGACGCCGCGUGAAGGAUGAAGGUCUUCGGAUUGUAAACUUCUUUGAUCAGGGAAGAAAGAAAUGACGGUACCUGAAAAACAAGCCACGGCUAACUACGUGCCAGCCGCCGC